AAACACAGUUGAGUUAGAGAGAGCAUGCUUGUUGAAUUUAAGCUCAUAGCGCCUUCCAUACUUCUGUCGCCUAUCAGUAGUAUCUUCUGCAAAAGGUUGCUCAUAGCGCUUUCCGUACCACAUUUGUGUAUUAGGAGUAUCUUCUGCAAAAGGUUGCUUAUAACGCUUUCCGUACCACAUUUGUGUAUUAGGAGUAUCUUCUGCAAAAGGUUGCUCAUAGCGCUUUCCGUACCACAUUUGUGUAUUAGGAGUAUUUUCUGCAAAAGUUUGCUCAUAGCGCUUUCCGUACCACAUUUGUGUAUUAGGAGUAUCUUCUGCAAAAGGUUGCUCAUAGCGCUUUCCGUACCACAUUUGUGUAUUAGGAGUAUCUUCUGCAAAAGGUUGCUCAUAGCGCUUUCCGUACCACAUUUGCGUAUUAGGAGUAUCUUCUGCAAAAGUUUGCUCAUAGCGCUUUCCGUACCACAUUUGUGUAUUAGGAGUAUCUUCUGCAAAAGGUUGCUCAUAGCGCUUUCCAUACUUAUGGUGCCAAUCAGUAGUAUCUUCUGCAAAAGGUUGCUCAUAGCGCUUUCCAUACUUAUGGUGCCAAUCAGUAGUAUCUUCUGCAAAAGGUUGCUCAUAGCGCUUUCCAUACUUAUGAUGCCAAUCAGUAGUAUCUU
rnacentral:lncRNA from 1 species